GCCCGUUAAUGGGUGAUGGCGUGCCUUUUGUAGAAUGAACCGGCGAGUUACGAUUUGAUGCAAGGUUAAGCAGUAAAUGUGGAGCCGUAGCGAAAGCGAGUCUGAAUAGGGCGUUUAGUAUUUGGUCGUAGACCCGAAACCAGGUGAUCUACCCUUGGUCAGGUUGAAGUUCAGGUAACACUGAAUGGAGGACCGAACCGACUUACGUUGAAAAGUGAGCGGAUGAACUGAGGGUAGCGGAGAAAUUCCAAUCGAACCUGGAGAUAGCUGGUUCUCUCCGAAAUAGCUUUAGGGCUAGCCUCAAGUGAUGAUUAUUGGAGGUAGAGCACUGUUUGGACGAGGGGCCCCUCUCGGGUUACCGAAUUCAGACAAACUCCGAAUGCCAAUUAAUUUAACUUGGGAGUCAGAACAUGGGUGAUAAGGUCCGUGUUCGAAAGGGAAACAGCCCAGACCACCAGCUAAGGUCCCAAAAUAUAUGUUAAGUGGAAAAGGAUGUGGCGUUGCCCAGACAACUAGGAUGUUGGCUUAGAAGCAGCCAUCAUUUAAAGAGUGCGUAAUAGCUCACUAGUCGAGUGACACUGCGCCGAAAAUGUACCGGGGCUAAACAUAUUACCGAAGCUGUGGAUUGUCCUUUGGACAAUGGUAGGAGAGCGUUCUAAGGGCGUUGAAGCAUGAUCGUAAGGACAUGUGGAGCGCUUAGAAGUGAGAAUGCCGGUGUGAGUAGCGAAAGACGGGUGAGAAUCCCGUCCAC
rnacentral:rRNA from 1 species